CCUACGGGUGGCAGCAGUGGGGAAUAUUGCACAAUGGGGGGAACCCUGAUGCAGCGACGCCGCGUGAGUGAAGAAGUAUUUCGGUAUGUAAAGCUCUAUCAGCAGGGACGAAGAUGACGGUACCUGACUAAGAAGCCCCGGCUAACUACGUGCCAGCAGCCGCGGUAAUACGUAGGGGGCAAGCGUUAUCCGGAUUUACUGGGUGUAAAGGGAGCGUAGACGGUUAAGCAAGUCUGAAGUGAAAGCCCACGGCUCAACCAUGGGACUGCUUUGGAAACUGUAAAACUAGAGUGCAGGAGAGGUAAGCGGAAUUCCCAGUGUAGCGGUGAAAUGCGUAGAUAUUAGGAGGAACACCAGUGGCGAAGGCGGCUUACUGGACUGUAACUGACGUUGAGGCUCGAAGGCGUGGGGAGCAAACAGGAUUAGAUACCCGAGUAGUC
rnacentral:rRNA from 1 species